rnacentral:rRNA from 1 species
GACGAACGCUGGCGGCGUGCUUAACACAUGCAAGUCGAACGGUGAAGCGCCUUCCCUUUUGGUGGGUGUGGAUGAGUGGCGAACGGGUGAGUAACACGUGAGUAACCUGUCUCCUCCUUAUGGAUAACCGCAUGAAAGAGUGGCUAAUACGGGAUAUUUAGGGUCUGUCGCAGGGUGGGUCUGGGAAAGACAUUGUUCCGGUGGGGGAUGGGCUGCCCGCCUCACAGCUUGUUGGUGGGGUGGUGGCGGACCAGGGCGGGGACGGCGGGCCGGCCUGAGAGGGUGGACGGUCACACUGGGAGUGAGGCGCGGCCCAGACUCCUACGGGGGGCAGCAGUGGGGAAGAUUGCUCAAUGAGGGCAAGACUGAUGCAGCGGCGCCGCGUGGGGGAGGAAGGCCGUCGUGUUGUGAACAUCUUUCGCCAGUGAAGCGGGCCUGCCUCGUUUGUGAGUGGGUUGACGGUAGCUGGAGAAGAAGCGCCGGCUAACUACGUG